ACGAUGAACCGCUUGCGGGGGAUUAGUGGCGAACGGGUGAGUAACACGUGAGUAACCUGCCCUUAACUCUGGGAUAAGCCUUGGAAACGGGGUCUAAUACUGGAUAUUGACUUUACCUCGCAUGGGGUUUUGUUGAAAGAUUUAUUGGUUUUGGAUGGACUCGCGGCCUAUCAGCUUGUUGGUGAGGUAAUGGCUCACCAAGGCGACGACGGGUAGCCGGCCUGAGAGGGUGACCGGCCACACUGGGACUGAGACACGGCCCAGACUCCUACGGGAGGCAGCAGUGGGGAAUAUUGCACAAUGGGCGAAAGCCUGAUGCAGCGACGCCGCGUGAGGGAUGACGGCCUUCGGGUUGUAAACCUCUUUCAGUAGGGAACAAGGCCAGCAUUUUUGUUGGUUGAGGGUACUUGCAGAAGAAGCGCCGGCUAACUACGUGCCAGCAGCCGCGGUAAUACGUAGGGCGCAAGCGUUAUCCGGAAUUAUUGGGCGUAAAGAGCUCGUAGGCGGUUUGUCGCGUCUGCCGUGAAAGUCCGGGGCUCAACUCCGGAUCUGCGGUGGGUACGGGCAGACUAGAGUGAUGUAGGGGAGACUGGAAUUCCUGGUGUAGCGGUGAAAUGCGCAGAUAUCAGGAGGAACACCGAUGGCGAAGGCAGGUCUCUGGGCAUUAACUGACGCUGAGGAGCGAAAGCAUGGGGAGCGAACAGGAUUAGAUACCCUGGUAGUCCAUGCCGUANACGUUGGGCACUAGGUGUGGGGGACNUUCCACGUUUUCCGCGCCGUAGCUAACGCAUUAAGUGCCCCGCCUGGGG
rnacentral:rRNA from 1 species